rnacentral:rRNA from 1 species
UACGUAGGGGCCUAGCGUUGUUCGGAAUUACUGGGCGUAAAGGGCUCGUAGGCGGCCAACUAAGUCAGACGUGAAAUCCCUCGGCUUAACCGGGGAACUGCGUCUGAUACUGGAUGGCUUGAGGUUGGGAGAGGGAUGCGGAAUUCCAGGUGUAGCGGUGAAAUGCGUAGAUAUCUGGAGGAACACCGGUGGCGAAGGCGGCAUCCUGGACCAAAUCUGACGCUGAGGAGCGAAAGCCAGGGGAGCAAACGGG